CACUAAGACAACGCGAGUGAGUGUGAACUUCUAAAAUAUCAACGGUAAAACUCCAAAACUCCUAAAUAUUGAUCUUUUUCCUUUUCCAACAUUAGAGCACCAAAUUAUGUGUUUCUUUCACAAAUGAACGUCGACUUUGGUUAUGAAGUUUUUAUAUCUUCAACUCUUUUGUUGGAUAUCGAUUCGGAGGAGAGUGAAAGUAUAAUAAGGUACCAACAGAAGGGUCUUAGAGCUCAAGCUAUGAGUACUAUCACUCAUGGAAAGUCUGUUGCUAGCAUAGAGAAUUCAAAGAACAACCCUGAUCAUCUCCUUGUUCUUUGUUAGAGAUGUAAUAUCAAACCAUUCACGUGUCUUCACCUACCAACUUAAACUAUUGGAAUAGUUGGUUCAUGAUAUGGAUGUAUGAUGUUCUCAAGGCACAAGAUGUUGACACGUUGCCCGGUAUCUGUGGCUAGUCUUUGCAAUAUGAGUGUCAAAAGCAAAUAACACCGUUGAAGGAAAAGGUUGGCUGGUCCUGGAUGUAAAGGAGUGGGAGAGAGUAGUACUCCAAUCACAUUUGAUUUUGUUUAUUUGGAAUUCUUAUUUCUAGAAUUGUCCAUUUACCCAAAAUAAAUAGGAACUACCCAAGUUAUGUAUUAGAGUCAAAAACUAAUUCCCUUCUGCUUUGUAGAUACAGCAAUCAGACAGUGUUCUGAUUUUAGAGUGACAAAAAUCUGUGCUUUGUGAACAUCUUGCCAGAAAUGAGUGACCCCAAGUAUGCCUAUCCUUACCCUGCUCAAGGGUAUUAUCAAGGUCCUCCUGUGAUGGCACCGCCACAAUAUGCUGCUCCACCGCCCAGAAGAGAUACUGGAUUCCUCGAGGGAUGAGUCACAGCAUGUUAGCAUAAGAUGAAAGCCUGUAUCCAGAAAUGCAUGUGGUAGUGGUCGAAAGUUGUAUCUGCAUCACUUGAUCCAUGCCCCUGAAGCAGCUAGGAUUAGGGAGAAAUACACAGACCAAAUCUCGAAUGUGGAGUAAGGCUAGUGUGCGCCGGAUAUGCUGUGUAUGGUGUCGACUAUGAAGGGCAUGGACACUCUGAAGGUGCCCGAUCUUACAUAAAAAAGUUUGAUAACAUUAUUAACGAUUGUUAUGACUUUUUCAAGUUAGUCAGUGGUAGGGAUUCAAAUUAUUGACUUUAUUUGCAUUAUUCUCAAUGUUGAAACUUUUAUACUGGCUGAGAAGAAUAUAGCUUCAUCCAUAAAACAGAUCAGUUGAGAAUAGAUCAUCAAAUUCAUCCCCUCCUUCCACAUCGGUCUUCUGGGUAUGCCUUCACUAAUAUCAUGCUAGCAGUAGCUUAGUUGUAUAGUGUCAUAGGUGAGGUAUUUCUCGGUUUGUUUAAUGCCUCUAUAUAUAGUUCAAAGAAGACUAAUUCAUUUUAUGCUGGACCUGAAGUAAAUGUAUGGAGCUGGAGCUGUGGUGUAAUUUUACACGCUCUUCUCUGUGGCACUCUUCCUUUUGAAGAUGAAAACAUUCCCAACCACUUCAAGAAAAUCAAGGGUGGGAUAUACAACAAAUGCACUAACUGCAUGCUGCACUAAAAAGAAAGCAUGUGUUCGUGUGAAUGCACGACGUCCUUUGCUCUAAUCAGCAAGUGGAUUUGACAUAUAUUGUGGAUAGUGUCAAACAACUUUAUGUUCAGUGGAAGAGACAAUUUCCUAUAAAUAUUAACUAAUUUCUUGAAUU